AUGAGUAUAGCUUAAUUGGACAAAGCAGAUGCCUCCUAAGCAUUUAGAUAAAGGUUCAAAUCCUAUUUAUUCAUC
rnacentral:tRNA from 1 species